CCUCAAGUAAUCCUCCUGCCUUGGCCUCCCAAAGUGCUGGUAUUAAAGGCAUGAGCCACCAUGCCCAGCUAGUUUUAAGAACAAUUAUUUAAUAUUGUGUUCCUUUUCUUAUUGAUUCCAUCCUGUUCUUUCAUGAUUUAUUGAGUCUUUCCUGUAGGCAGGGCACCCAAAGUUCACCCAGGGUACUAGGAACUUUGAAAACUUAAAACACUCUCACAUGUUCUGAAACACCCACAGCGACAAAGAGGAAAAGAACGUCCAGCAGGUGUAUUCCGUCUUCUGAAACACCCACAGCGACAGAGAGGAAAAGAAUGUCCAGCAGGUGUAUUCCAUCUCCAGCAGCGAGUGGAUACCAAGGCUGCUGCUGCUCCUACCCCUGACUUACGCCCCAGUCAGGAAGCCAGGAAAGUGCCCACUAAGUUCUAGAUUAAAUCAGAAGGGGAAAUCUCCAAGCCAAGAAGACAGUGAAACUGUCUUUUCCUUGUUCCAAAAAUGGCAGGGCCCUCUCUGUGCUGGAAGAAAUGCACCUGGCACUGGCGAGUCGUGUGAUGUCUGCUCUACACGUGGUAUCUUCCUCUGCACCCAUGCUGUGCACAGUUUACAUAGACACCUUCCCGUUACCUAUAGCAGGUCUCUGUCUGGAUCCAUCUCUUGUCGAGCUCGAACUCGAGCAGCAGGUGGAAAACCAUACUCCAGUGUAUUGUGUUUGUAAUUUGAAAAAAGUUCUCAAUAAAUUUUUGCAAAAACAGGAAAAAUCUUUUACACAUUAACUUUUUCUCUCUCUUAUUUUACCCCUUUGAGUCUUCCCAUUUCUACAUUUUCUUUAUUUUUAAAAAAUCACCUUUUCAAAAUAUUGUCUGGAUGUAGCUAAGGGUGUUGGGUAGCCAACACAGGCUACCAAUGGAGAAAAUCUCCUGUCCACGUUGGGGGUGCCGUGCUCUCAGAGGAAGCUGAUAGCAAAUUCAUGCACAAUUAAACUCAGAAGGAGAGGCACAGGCCUCAGAACACGCGUGCCAAAGAACCCGCAUUUGGCUUGAGCGGGGCUGGGCACGGUGGUGGCUCCACGCUGUGUCAGUCUGCCUCCAUCCAUGACUCCUUCUGGAGAAAGAUGAAAACGGCUUAUUCGGGGACUGCUGGGAGACCAGAGGUAUUCAUCACACAGGAAGAGGGUGUGCACUCUCUUUUCUUUGUCAAAAAUUGUAUCUAGAUUGAAAAACCUGGUAGGAACAAAAUGGUACUUUGUGGAGAGAAUCAGUGGUGACUAAUUUGAUUUGGGAAAGUAGAAUUCAAGAUAGGCUAUUUCUGAAACCACUUAAAAUGAGGACAGGGGAAAAUGAAGGUAUUAUUUCCUAGUUUUAUUCACCUUUUGGGGGAAUAUUUUACAAAACUUCUUUUUAGAAGGGGUCUGUCAUGGAGUUAUAUUAUGUUGAAAUGUUAAAAUCCAUGUCAAACCUUAUUAAAAAUGAAGAAGAUAUGUAUUGACCACAAUUAAUUACUUAGUUAUAAGAGUCCAUGCUGAAUUUACUGUCAGUCAAGUCAACAAGAGACGUGGUCAGUUACACAGUUAUCUCUGUGUGAAAGAGAAGUAUUUUUUCUUCAAAAGAGGCCAGUUUGGGAGUGGAAUAUCCUAAAUUUUGAAAGGAAUUUUUCACAUAGGAUCCUCUACAGGGGCAUCGCGUAACACAAAUGUCAGCUUUCCAGCAAGGGCAGGACAUCGUCUCAUGGCCCCUGUUCCUACUGACCAAGGCCAAGCGUGGGGCCUGAGCUUUGCUUUUUAAUUCUUCACAGGCUGCAGAGCCUAGCCUUUUGUAGAGGCGGGGGGAAGAGUAGCCAUUCUCUAUUUAUAAAUCUUCCUUUCUUGAUUUUAGGAAGUAACCAGAUAUUAUGGGGAGUUUGAAGUCAUUUUAACUUUUAUGACAUUCAAGUUUGUAUGGACUUUUUAGUGUCCAAAUUUAUGCUCUGAGUAUUUUGAGCUGAGCUUAUUCAUUCCACAAAGUAUACGUUUAUAAAUAUUUUAAGUAUGAAUUUAGUAACAACCUUUUCCCUCAUAAUUAUGCUAACUGACGUAGUGAAAUGUUGAGAGAAUCAGAUGUUAAUGGUUGGCUGAGCUGGGGCAAUUACGUGGCAUUUAUUAGUCUUUUGUUAUGGCACACAGUUCUAAAGUAGAUCAUUUAAAAAGCAUUAAUUUCAUCUGCAAGCACCAGUACACGAUUCAGCAAUUACAUUGAGUUAUAAAAGUUAGAUCUCAAAACUAUGAAUGUACCUUAAUGAAAAAAGAAAGUCUUAUUUUGCACCACAAUGAAUUUUUUCUUAAUAUAGAAAGUGACUCAUGUGUCUCAGUGGCUAAGAAAGAACUGUGUUCGUGUUCCUGGCAAAAUGCAAAAUCA